UGGAUUAAGGCAGUGGAUUGUGAAUCCACUAUGCGCGGGUUCAAUUCCCGUCGUUCGCC
rnacentral:tRNA from 1 species